CCUACGGGUGGCUGCAGUCGAGAAUCAUUCACAAUGGGGGAAACCCUGAUGGUGCGACGCCGCGUGGGGGAAUGAAGGUCUUCGGAUUGUAAACCUCUGUUAUGUGGGAGCAAAUUAAAAAGAUAGUACCACAAGAGGAAGAGACGGCUAACUCUGUGCCAGUAGCCGCGGUAAUACAGAGGUGUCAAGCGUUGUACGGAAUCACUGGGCGUAAAGCGUGCGUAGGCUGUUUCGUAAGUAGGGUGUGAAAGGUGCGGGCUCAACCCGCGGAGGGCACAUGAUACUGGGAGACUAGAGUAAUGGAGGGGGAACCGGAAUUCUCGGUGUAGCAGUGAAAUGCUUAGAUAUCGAGAAGAACACUCAUGGCGAAGGCAGGUUCCUGGACAUUAACUGACGCUGAGGCACGAAGGCCAGGGGAGCGAAAGGGAUUAGAUACCCCUGUAGUC
rnacentral:rRNA from 1 species